GAUGAACGCUGGCGGCGUGCCUAAUACAUGCAAGUCGAGCGAACGGACGAGAAGUUUGCUUCUCUGACGUUAGCGGCGGACGGGAGAGUAACAUGUGGAUAACCUCUCUAUAAGACUAGGAUCAGUUCGGGAACCGGGUGCUACUACAGACUAAUAUUUUGAACCGCAUGGUUCACAAGUGAAAGACGGUCUUGCUGUCACUUAUAGAUGGAUCCGCGCUGCAUUAGCUAGUUGGUAAGGUAACGGCUUACCAAGGCAACGAUGAAUAGCCGCCCUGAGAGGGUGAGCGGCCACACUGGAACUGAGACACGGUCCAGACUCCUACGGGAGGCAGCAGUAGGGAAUCUUCGACAAUGGGCGAAAGCCUGACGCAGCAACGCCGCGUGAGUGAUGAAGGUCUUCGGAUCGUAAAGCUCUGUUAUCAGGAAAGAACAUAUGGGUAAGAAACUGGUCAGAGCAUGACGGUACCGAAACAAAAAGCCACGGCUAACUACGUG
rnacentral:rRNA from 1 species